UGGCUGUAGCUACAUGAAUUCAUUUGGCCGGUUGUUGUUCUACUGUCGACACAUCUGCUUACCGAACUUCUUGCAUUU